CCUGCCACGUCCCGUGUCCGUGGCAGAAUGCCUCUCUUGUUCCAGCUGUCUCAUCUGUGGACAGGGGAUAGUGGAGCUGCCGUACCUUUUAGGGAAAGUCAUCAGUUAGAGCAAAGCCCUCUUGAAGAAGCCCACCUGGUUCAUCACCCAGCAGCAUCAGUAAGCUGGACAUUCAUGCAUCUAACACAAUAGGCUCUACCAAAACUGUCCUGCCAUGGUGGGGGAGAUGACGCCAGAGUACCCUCCACCUGUUUGCCAACACGGUCAGUGGGAGAGUCACCAAGCCCACCACCUACAGACCUCGCUUCCCAGGCAAGGCUAAGUAUGCAGAGAAGAUGUCAGAAUCCUUGGCACUUAUUAGUACUAUUUGUAACUGGGAAGAGGGUCUGCAAUGUCAAUCAGGUUCUCUCCUGAUCUUGUUCAGUUGUGUCCGACUCUUUGCAACCCUAUGGGCUGUAGCCCACCAGGCUCCUCUGUUCAUGUGAUAU
ensembl:lncRNA